rnacentral:tRNA from 1 species
GGGCAGGUACCCAAGUGGCCAAAGGGGGCGGGCUGUAAACCCGCUGGGCUUCGCCCUACGGGGGUUCGAAUCCCUCCCUGCCCA